UACAGAGGUCCCAAGCGUUGUUCGGAUUCACUGGGCGUAAAGGGUGCGCAGGUGGUUUGGCAAGUUUGACGUGAAAGCCCCGGGCUUAACCCGGGAAUGGCGUUGAAAACUGCUUGAACUGAAGGGUUGGAGGGGGGACUGGAAUUCUUGGUGUAGCAGUGAAAUGACGUAGAUAUCAAGAGGAACACCAGUGGCGAAGGCGAGUCCCUGGACAAUACCUGACACUGAGGCACGAAAGCCAAGGGAGCAAACAGGA
rnacentral:rRNA from 1 species